AGCACUUCAGGGGAGUACAAGGAAGCUAGAAGGCAUGGGAUCUUCUUCUGAGAUGAGAAUUUUGGCAAAGAAAUAGGAGAGACACUGAAAAAAGACAGAGGCUGGCUUGGAAAUCGAACAGAUAUGGUUCUGUGGUCGAAAGGAUGGUGGUAUUCUUGUGGCUGUCUAUGCAAACAGUACAGAACAAUUGUAUUAAAUGCCACCCCACUCUGCCAGUUGAGUGGCAAUAUGCAGGUUAAUCAAUCAUUUUCCAUGGAAACUUUGUCCAGAAAAAUUUUGACCAACAUUAAUUGUAUAUGCUACGUAUUUGGACUGUUGAUGGGAGCUCCGCACAUGGAAUGAAUGCAGAAUACACGGAGAGGAC